GAUGAACGCUAGCGGCAGGCUUAAUACAUGCAAGUCGAGGGACAGCACAGGUAGCAAUACUGGGUGGUAACCGGCAAACGGGUGCGGAACACGUACACAACCUUCCUUUAAGUGGGGGAUAGCCCAGAGAAAUUUGGAUUAAUACCCCGUAAUAUAGUUGAAUGGCAUCAUUUGAUUAUUAUAGCUACGGCGCUUAAUGAUGGGUGUGCGGCUGAUUAGAUAGUUGGCGGGGUAACGGCCCACCAAGUCUACGAUCAGUAGCUGAUGUGAGAGCAUGAUCAGCCAAACGGGCACUGAGACACGGGCCCGACUCCUACGGGAGGCAGCAGUAAGGAAUAUUGGUCAAUGGACGCAAGUCUGAACCAGCCAUGCCGCGUGAAGGAUUAAGGUCCUCUGGAUUGUAAACUUCUUUUAUUUGGGACGAAAAAGGGCCUUUCUAGGUCAACUGACGGUACCAGAUGAAUAAGCACCGGCUAACUCCGUGCCAGCAGCCGCCGUAAGAC
rnacentral:rRNA from 1 species